UGGGGAAUAUUGGACAAUGGGCGAAAGCCUGAUCCAGCCAUGCCGCGUGUGUGAAGAAGGUCUUCGGAUUGUAAAGCACUUUAAGUUGGGAGGAAGGGCAUUAACCUAAUACGUUAGUGUUUUGACGUUACCGACAGAAUAAGCACCGGCUAACUCUGUGCCAGCAGCCGCGGUAAUACAGAGGGUGCAAGCGUUAAUCGGAAUUACUGGGCGUAGAGCGCGCGUAGGUGGUUUGUUAAGUUGGAUGUGAAAUCACCGGGCUCAACCUGGGAACUGCAUUCAAAACUGACUGACUAGAGUAUGGUAGAGGGUGGUGGAAUUUCCUGUGUAGCGGUGAAAUGCGUAGAUAUAGGAAGGAACACCAGUGGCGAAGGCGACCACCUGGACUAAUACUGACACUGAGGUGCGAAAGCGUGGGGAGCAAACA
rnacentral:rRNA from 1 species